GGGUCUUGCUAAGUUGCUGAGGCUGGCUUUGAACUUGCAAUCAUCCUGGCUCCCGAGUUGCUGGGAUUAUAGGUGUACGCUGCCCCAUUCAGCUCCUCUGGAUUUUUUUUUUUUUUUUAAGUCUGGGGCAAUGAGAUAAAGGUGGUACAGAUCAGGUACCUUUUAUACAUGUCAAGUCUUCUCUAACUGGUUUCACAAAUGCUUGUUAUCCCUUCCAAAAUAAAAUGAGAAAUACAUGCAAAAACGGGGUGAUGUGUGCACUGGGUGGUUUAAAGGGAACUCCAUCUAUUAGGAUAACAGGAUGAAGUACUGAAUAACCAUGUGCCAUCUGGUCAGUUUGUUUUUUGAUUUUGGUUUUGUUCCCCAAAAUAAAAGGCAGAGUUUCAGAGCUCAUUUGGAAACACUCUUUCAAGCUGUUAGGAAUUCCUGACAUGUCCCAAACCAUUGCCUGUACUUCUGGGGCCACUGUUUUUGGUGUAACAACCUGAGUAGGGCCAGCCCUACCCGUGAGCCUGGGCAGUCACAGAUAAUGGAUGAAGUGGAAUCUGGGUUUCCUUCCCCACCCUGACAUUCAGACAAUCUGUUCUUGUCCAGGACCUGGGGAAGACCAGGAAGACUGGAUGCUGAAAAGUUGUAGACAUCCAGCGUAAGGGACUUGAG
rnacentral:lncRNA from 1 species